UCUACAGGUUCCAGACAGAUAUGCAAAAUGCUUGUAAUGAAGCUGCAAGCCAUGUGAAAAAGGCGUGACAAGAUACUGUAUGUAGCAGAGAGAGGCUCCUGCUUCAAGAAGAAGAAAAAGAAGAGAGGGCAUACUCCCGAGCCUGAAUUAAGAGCCAAGUGAAGUACCAUCCAGAGCAGUGAAAAUAUGUUUGGCAGCUAUAGAGCAGUCAGCUGCACACACAGGGAUGACAGUGUCAAAGGACAGCCUUUCAUGAGGACCAGAAGGCCCUUAAGGUCUGCUUUCAGUCUGUUACUAAACACCAAGGCUAAUAUUCUUCUCCUAAUGUGACCUUGCUGGGGCAGAGAUUUCAAAACAAGCAGCCUCUGACAACUACGUGACAAUGCAGGAUGAAUAGAAGACACCAGGAAACUCAAGACAUCUGAAAUGCUUCGGACUGCACAGUGCCAAAGACAAGUUGUGUGAUAGGUAAGAGUGUAGCUCCCUUAUACGUAUGGAAGAGAUUUGCUGGGCAGUUGGACAGGAGCUUGCCUUGUGUGUAGCUGGGCCAGGGGCAGCGAGGGAACAGGAUGAAAAGCCAAAGCGUUACACAGAGAGCCACUGCUAAUGUUGCUCAGGAACAUAGCAAAGGCAGAGAGAGAGCAAAAAAGCGGGUGUGAGUUGAACUGAUCGCUGGUAAAUAAUAGCUCCAUCUAUGAACAAAGAAAACAUUUGCUGUUAGAUUCCUGCUCUGCUUACUCUCUGUGUCAGGGAUUGGAGGUGAUGGAAUUUACCUAACUGUCUUGGUUUUGCAUUUGGUGUUUGGCACAGCUACAUUUUGAGCGCUUCAAGUGAAGUACUGUGCUGGUUUUCUUUCUAGUUACAUUUACAUAUUGCAGAGAAAGUGUGCUAUUGUUUUUCCUUCUUGUCUCUUCCUUAUUGCAUCCUUUAUUUCUAAUCGAAGUUGAAUUGGUGAAACAUUAAAAAACUGGGUUAGGGUCAUAUGCUGACAAAAAGGCAGACUGCACUUGGUAACUGAUAUCACUAAAUUACAAGGGGAAAAGAACCAUUCAGCUCAGUAUGUGCAUAUAUGUAUAAGAUUGUGCCAGUAACUUGUUAUUUUAUUUAAAGAUCAGUUCUGUUCUUUUAUUUCCUCUGUCUCACCUUUUGUAUGUAGCUUUAAAGUAUGUUAAAUGUAAUUGAAUAUGGUGGCUAUAAGAGAGCCAUUGAAUAAAAGAAAACCUGCUGUUUGAUCAUC
rnacentral:lncRNA from 7 species